GACUACCGGGGUAUCUAAGCCCGUUUGCUACCCUAGCUUUCGCCUCUCAGCGUCAGGUACAGGCCAGGAAGCCGCUUUCGCCACUGGUGUUCUUCCUAAUAUCUGAGCAUUCCACCGCUACACUAGGAAUUCCGCUUCCCUCUCCUGCCCUCUAGUCGCCCAGUUUUGAGCGUCGUUUCUCAGUUAAGCCGAGAAUUGUCACGCCCAACUUGGACAACCGCCUACUUGCCCUUUACGCCCAGUAAAUCCGGAUAACGCUCGCCUCCUACGUUUUACCGCGGCUGCUGGCACGUAGUUAGCCGAGACUUAUUCCUGGGGUACCGUCCGCUCUCGUCCCCCAGAAAAGAGCUUUACGACCCGAAGGCCUUCUUCGCUCACGCGGCGUUGCUGCAUCAGGGUUUCCCCCAUUGUGCAAUAUUCCUUACUGCAGCCCCCCGUAGG
rnacentral:rRNA from 1 species